UAGGGAAUCUUCGGCAAUGGGGGCGAACCCUGACCGGGCAACGCCGCGUGAGUGAAGAAGGUUUUCGGAUCGUAAAGCUCUGUUGUAAGAGAAGAACGUGUGUGAGAGUGGAAAGUUCACACAGUGACGGUAACUUACCAGAAAGGGACGGCUAACUACGUGCCAG
rnacentral:rRNA from 1 species